GUUGCAAACUUUUGUACUUUCUCUAAUUUCUUGAUGUGCUUGACCAGGUGUGGAUUCAAAACUGUUGCUGCAUACUCCAGUAUGGGCCUGACGCACACAGUGUACAGUGUCUUGCUGUAGUCAUGUAUGUCUUACUGUGGCUUGCUAUAGACAUGUAUGUUUGUUGCUGCGGCCUGUCAUUAGGUGUACCAUGGGUACUCCAAGCCUGGAUGGAAAGAUCAACAAUGGCUAUCAACAGUUCAGGAACAUGUAGUACAAAUUUUGUUCUUUUCACCCUUGUUAUUAACAUAAUUUACAUCAUGCCAUUUCUUGUUACGAUCUAUAGUAUCUUUCUCGCAGUUAUAGUCAUUGUCAUUGUUUUGGUGGGGGCAUUGCUCUUUAGGUGGUGUUGUGAUGAUGGUAUUAGAAGUGAUGUUGGUGUCAUUGGGAUUAGAUAUGCAACAAGUACAACAGACAGUGCAUACAGGAAAAUUGAUAGCACAUAUCUGAGUAGUGCAUCUGCUGAUGUUGCUAAGACCAAACAUAUUGGUUUUGGAGAUGCAGGUGCUGGAGUUUCUUUGAACACUGGAAGCCUGCAAACUGAAGAGUACUUGUUUACUGCAUAUCAAUCUGUAGGUGUGAGCAAUACACACAUACAUGAGGAGGCUGGUGUUAGGAAAACAGGUGUCCAAGAAAGUAGUGCAGGUGUAAAUAUAGAGAGAGCCAUGUGCUAGUCACUGUCAUACUGGUAUUCACACAUUAUUUCACUUGUAAUUGAAGUUAUUAAAAAAUAUUACACAUGUUGAUAUAACAUGUGACAUUGGUGAUGGCACACUAUUUAAUAUUUGUGAACCAUAUACCCCACUGCCUAAAAAUGAACAAACCAAAGGUUUUUAUUUUUAACAAACUGGCUGUCUCCCACAGAGGCAGUGUGACCCAAAAAAGAAGAAACAAAAGUUUUUCUUUUUAACAUUUAGUAAUUUAUACAGAAGGGGUUACUAGCCCCUUGCUCCUGGCACUGUAGUUACCUCUUGUGACAGGCGUGGUUUACGAGGAAGAAUUCUUUUCCACUUCCCCAUAUAUACAGUAGAACCCCUUUAUCCACUUAUUCGGUGUCCAUGGUUUCAGUUAUCCAUGGUUUCCUGUAGCCCAAAAAUACUUAUUAAUUUUGCAUGAUAGUGACCCCAGAGCACAAAAGUAGAAAAAGCUGGCAGUUCUUCAAAUCCUAAGAGAGGCCAUGAAGUGCUUCCCAUCAUAUAAGAGGUAUGCAUAAAACUUAUAUAGUGUGUUUGCUACUAUCCACGGUAUCCAUGGCAGGUCCUUGAAACAUGUCCCCCGUGGAUACAAAUGGUUCUACUGUACAUAGUAGGGAAGCACUAAACAUACUGGUAAAUGUUAGGUGAAUAGACACAGAUGCAACUAAUGUCACAUUUUAUUGUGGCAAUGUUUUGCUCUCCAAGAGCUUUGUCAGGCUUUUACAGCUUGACAAAGCUCCUGGAGAGUGAAACUUUGCCACAAUAAAAUGUCACACUUGUUGCAUCUGUCUAUUUACCUAAUAUUUUGUCAGUAAUUCUACCAUUAUUACCAUACUGGUAAAUGCAUUCAGAAUUUGUGUAGAUAGUGAGAGUCUUCUAAUGGUAACAGGAGUAUAAUUAUUUUAUACAGUGGAAAUAGUACAAAUGCAUUUAAAUGAUAUUCAUGUUCAGAGAUGCUGUGAUCUUGCUAGUUGUGGUUAGAUAUCAUUAGUAAUUUGCAUGUUAAUACCCAGGUGCAACAUGAUCCCUAUGGGUUUAGCAUGAAUAUAAUAAUUAUGGGUUAAUGCAGGUACUGUAGAAUAACAACAAAAUUCUAAGUUGUACUGUAGAAUAGCACAGAAUUCUAAGUUAUACUGUAGAGUAGCACAGAAUUCUACAUUAUACUGUAGAAUAGCACAGAAUUCUACGUUAUACUGUAGAGUAGCACAGAAUUUUAAGUUAUACGGUUGAGUAACACAGAAUUUUAAGUUAGUGUGAAAAUGUUCUCUUGCAACAAAAGUAUAAGCACAACUGGUUAUGCUCAGCUGCAAAGAAUUGUGAUGAUUGAAUUUGCAUUACAUUUACAUUGUAUGUCAUCUUGCUAUGGCAAGAAUGGUCAGUAUGAUUAAAAAAAAAAUUGAUGGAAGUGCUAAAUCCAAAAGGGUCAUACAGCACUUCACAGCAGAAGUGAAAGUGAUUGUCGUGGCGAGGGAUGAGAUUUUGCCGCAACUGUAACAACAGACAAUUCUGUAGCCGUUAGACUUAGUCCAGGGUAUCUGAAGCAGCUGAGCCAGUGUAUUUUGUCCCUUAUUUCCAAAGUCUGUAAAAUUGACGUCCAUUUAAGUCGAUAGUUUACUGUAUUGAAUUAAAAUAUUUUGUAUGAUGUUAAGAUGGUUGCCCUUACUUGAAGAUUAAUAUGCUUAGAUGACC